AAUUUACCAAAAUGUACUUCGUCGAAGACAACUUCACCAGGAAGAUUCAAGUUCCAAAAGCGAGUUAUAAAUGAAAGUACCGUUAUCAAAACAAAAGCAAGCUUAAAUUUUUUGGCUUUCAACGUCUUGAGAUUCAAACUUACAUCUUCUUCUGUAGAAUUUGGAGAUUUCUGUUUUGGAGUAACAUUAUCAGAAGACUUCGUGUCAGUUAAUUCAACAGAUGGCUCUUUGCUCAAUUUUUGGGCUUUCUUUACAGCUUUUUCAGAUUUGGAAGCCAUAAUUCAGAUGAAAAUCCGAAAUUUUGGUAAAGGGUACAACUUUAAAACCAAGUCCUUCUGACCACCGAACCUGGAGUUAAGCUUGGGAGAAUCUGAGUGAACUGCUACAUAUUCUAUUACUUCUUUGCAUUAUAUUUAUCGUAGUUAAAAACGUAUCGUUAUAAAAAAUAGGAUAAUAGUUAUUAGUAGUUGCAAUACAAAAAUUAAAAAAGAGGUCAAAAGAUCGAUGGAUGGCCUAUAAUAAAAUACUCAAUGUUUAACUUAAAGUUGUGCUUCAUCGUCAGUAAAAACCAACUUUGAAGAAAUUAUGUCCUAAAUACAUUCAAUCAUUUCUCCACGUUUCGUAGUAGGUAGUUAACGAGCUAACUUCUCGUUAGUAGUUUAUAUUAAAGUGAUUUAUUGAAGACUUAAACAUUUUGACUAGCUAAAGAAUUUUUCGAUUGUUAUGCAAAGCUAUUAUACUUUAUCUGUUCAUAAAAAAGGCGCAUAGAAAGCACAAUGGUUUUGAGAAAUUAAAAUUCAGUCGUAAACGAAAUGCUUAUGAACCAAAUCGUUCAAAAGUCGACUUGUGAUAUCGUUUUUUUUUUCGUGCGAUAGAUUGUGAAAGAAGCAAUUGAUUAUACACAGCAUUUUAACUCCUUGUCUAACAAAAAUAUUAUGCCUUUGAAGCUCUUCUACAACUCCUAAAAUGUGCUUUCACUUUUUCUUAGCGGUCAAUAUUGUGCCUGUAGCGAAAAAAAUUUAUCAUCAAUCGUCAAUGUUACAUCCAAAGGCUUCAAAUUCACAUGAAAGUAUGCUGAAUCAAAAUCUU